rnacentral:rRNA from 1 species
CAACAAGGAUUCCCUUAGUAACGGCGAGUGAAGCGGGAAGAGCUCAAAUUUGAAAUCUUCAAGGUUCUACCUUGACGAAUUGUAGUUUAUAGAAGUGUUUUCUGUUAGUGGAGUGGCAAAAGUUCUUUGGAAUAGGACAUCAUAGAGGGUGAGAAUCCCGUAUUUGGUCAUUCCUCCUAGCGUUGUGAUACACUUUCAACGAGUCGGAUUGUUUGGGAAUGCAGUCCAAAAUGGGUGGUAAAUUUCAUCUAAAGCUAAAUAUUGGCGAGAGACCGAUAGCGAACAAGUACCGUGAGGGAAAGAUGAAAAGAACUUUGAAAAGAGAGUUAAACAGUACGUGAAAUUGUCAAAAGGGAAGCGUUUGACACCAGUGUUGUUUUUCCGAAAAUCAAUUACGAAUGUUUUGUUUUUGAGGAGUUAUGACUUCAUCGGCUUGCUCCUUUCUUUAUGAAACUUUCUUAAUGCACUUUUCGGUUAACAAGUCAACAUCAAUUUCUUUUGUUGUAAAAGGGUAUGAGGAAGGUGGCUUUCUUUUCGGAGAAAGUGUUUAUAGCCUUGUGCCUCUGCAAUCGGAGAGAUUGAGGUCUGCAGCGUAGAUCCUUCGGGGUUAGAUACGUUUGUGCUAAGUUAUAGCUUUUCAUAGACAACUUGUUGACUAUGUUUAGUCUUGUAGCUUACUCGCUGUACGCUAUUUUACCUACGCUUAGGAUGUUGACAAAAUGGUUUUGAA